rnacentral:rRNA from 1 species
UACGAGGGGGGCGAGCGUUGUUCGGAUUCAUUGGGCGUAAAGGGCGCGUAGGCUGCGGGGCAAGUCGGGUGUGAAAUCUCAGAGCUCAACUCUGAAACUGCACUCGAUACUGCUUUGCUUGAGGACUGGAGAGGAGAUUGGAAUUCACGGUGUAGCAGUGAAAUGCGUAGAUAUCGUGAGGAAGACCAGUGGCGAAGGCGGAUCUCUGGACAGUUCCUGACGCUGAGGCGCGAAGGCCAGGGGAGCAAACGGG